AAGGCAAAGAAAAUUCCGCCAAGUAUUGAAGUAAACAACAAAGAAAGGGAUUUGGGAUGUUGUCAGUUGUAUGUAUACAUUAUGUGCGACGGUGACUGCAAAAAAAAGGAAUGUAGAGCUAAUGCAUGCUGCUAAGGAUGGAAAGGUCUUGUGUUUAUUGGUUGUGCCUGAGUCACCAGUCACAGUUGUACCUUAUUUCCAUUUUAGGUAUUGUCUUUUGAGUUUUUUUAAGUAGAGGGAACAAUGCAUUUUUCAUUCAAUAUAAAUGUAAAAUUCUAGAGAUAACUUUUUUUCACCAUUGCUGGAUACUCACUACAUGAUUUUAUCUAAAGAAAAGUAUUUAAAUUAUUUUCUCACAUUUUUUAAAGAGGCCGGGUAUGGUGAAGAGAUAAUUCAUUUUUUAUUCAAAAUUUUAUUUUCCAUGCAUUUGUACAGGGAGUCUAUAUACAUUUGAGAUGAGCGGCAGAUUUAAUUUUGAAGAAGGGUGACUUUCAGAUGUUGUGAUGAAGAUUGUUGAAAGGGAUUAUCAGCAUAGAACCAAUCCAUAUGAAUGUGCAAGUCAGGACUUGUACAACACCUGAGUACCUAGAUGA